ensembl:lncRNA
GCUGGAAUUGUAUGAUUGUGAAGACAUCGCGAACCUUAAAGGUUGAGAAGUGAACGGAUUAUACGGCGAACUGAGACGACGUGAAAAAGGGGAUUGGAAGCGGCAUUGAUGUGAGUACUAAGAGCCAGUCGAAAGUGCCCUGUAUAUUGACCUGGCGUUGUGUAGAUCUCUCCAGGAGGAGGAGGGCGGCCCUACCCCUAAUAUAGCGUGGUGGGAGAGCCGAAGGAAUACUUAUUGAAGUAGUCACAACGACGACAUCACUAGCUAGGCCGCAUAUUCCAUCGCCAGAUCCGAACCAAGCGAAGUGAAGGAAGACGGGUGUCCUUUUCGUACACUGAGUGUGGUGGGUGAGUCUUCAUGCUGUGAAAACCUAUAAUUUUGACGUGGUGCUGUAUAUUGCUGUGGGCUGCUGUGUAUUGCCGUGUGUCCUGUCAGAUAAACCCCCGCCUUCACGCACUUCGUCGCGGGAGGACAAGGAGACUGCUGGUCCUAGCCUAGUUCAGUACAGUAUAUGUUGUGAGCGUGCUUCAGAUCUCCGGAGAUAGCACAGUACGCUGUGUCCAGCCCAGAGGUGAAAGCCAUCCAAAGCAGAGUAACUGUGCUUUGCGUCCAAGUUGAUACCUGUGGAGAGGAAAGGAAAGAGAGUGAAUAACACGAGGAGGAAUAGAGCGAACCCUGUACUUACAGUACGCUGUGUCCAGCCCAGAGGUGAAAGCCAUCCAAAGCAGAGUAACUGUGCUUUGCGUCCAAGUUGAUACCUGUGGAGAGGAAAGGAAAGAGAGUGAAUAACACGAGGAGGAAUAGAGCGAACCCUGUACUUACAGUACGCUGUGUCCAGCCCAGAGGUGAGAGCCAUUCAAAGCAAACUAACUGUGCUAUUGUGCCCAAGUUGAUACCUGUGGAGAGAAAAGGAGAGAGAGUGGGUAACACGAGGAGAGACCGAGGAAACCUGUACUUACGCCGCUGCCUGUGGAGAAAGAGAAAGCGACCGUUGCCUGUGGAGGAAGAGAAAGAGAGUGAGCACCCCGAGAACGAACUGUGUGAACCAGUACUUACCGUGAGCUGUAUUCAGCGAAGAGGAGGAAGAAGGAGGGCGCUACGGAUACCUAAGACUCAGGCCGGGGCCCGAGUCCCACGCCCCGGAUCCCCGUGGCCCCCUUGCUCCCUGACCUCUUCCCGGCCAUAGCCCAUCUGGAGGGCCGAGUCAGAGUUUAGUUUUAAUUGCCCUUUCCCUAUUCCCCAAGCUAUUUUUAAAUAUUUAAAUAAAGAUUGUUUUAUCACUUACUUGUUCUCGUGU